ACGGGUGAGUAACGCGUGGGAAUCUACCGUACCCUACGGAAUAGCUCUGGGAAACUGGAAGUAAUACCGUAUACGCCCGGAAGGGGAAAGAUUUAUCGGGGUAUGAUGAGCCCGCGUUGGAUUAGCUAGUUGGUGGGGUAAAGGCCUACCAAGGCGACAAUCCAUAGCUGGUCUGAGAGGAUGAUCACCCACAUUGGGACUGAGACACGGCCCAAACUCCUACGGGAGGCAGCAGUGGGGAAUAUUGGACAAUGGGGGCAACCCUGAUCCACCCAUGCCGCGUGAGUGAUGAAGGUCUUAUGAUUGUAAAGCUCUUUCACCGAUGAAAAUAAUGACGGUAGUCGGAGAAAAAACCCCGGCAAACUUCUUGCCACCAGCCGCGGUAAUACAAAAGGGGCUAGCGUUGUUCGGAAUUACUGGGCGUAAAGCGCACGUAUGCGGAUAAUUAAGUCAGGGGUGAAAUCCCGCAGCUCAACUGCGGAACUGCCUUUGAUACUGGUUAUCUUGAGUAUGGAAGAGGUAAGUGGAAUUGCGAGUGUAUAGGUGAAAUUCUUAUA
rnacentral:rRNA from 1 species